rnacentral:rRNA from 1 species
AAUGCGCGUCAGGAUGUGAACUGCAGGACACAUGAACACCGACACGUUGAACGCAUAUGGCGCAUCGGCUCGCCUCAAAACGACCGAUGCACACAUCCUUGAGUGUCUACUGAUUUCGAAAUAUCCUCAUGGUUUGAACUUGACUACAACAUGCCACGGGGGCCCCCACCGUCUGGGGCCGAGGUGGACGUUGUGCAUAGCAGCGUGCUGGGCGUGGCUUCGCGCCGCCCCAGGGCGUUGGUCCCGGUAGAGUGAUGGAUACAGAGCGGGCGACCGCGUCGCUGGCCUGCACGCGCACUUACGCGCUGGUUCCUGGUCGUUAGAUGUUGCGCCCGUAGCCUUUCCGAGGUCUGCAAGCGCCAGAUGCUUCCGACACCACAAGGGGACCGCCGUUCGUGCGGUCGGUGCCUACAAGGUACCGGCGGCCGCGGUUCGCUCCGACGCAAAGCCUCACCAAACACCGGACGCCCGGGUGCGCCGCGACUCUGUGGCCGCACCUCGGGACCCCCAACUCAUGUAGACCUCAGGUGAUGUGUGGUAACCCCCGGAAUUUAAGCAUAUUAAUAAGGGGAGGAAGAGAAACCAACCGGGAUUC